GCCUCAUACAGGGGGAUAGCAGUUGGAAACGACUGGUAAAACCGCAUAAGCGCACGGUAUCGCAUGAUACAGUGUGAAAACACUCCGGUGGUAUGAGAUGGACCCGCGUCUGAUUAGCUAGUUGGUGAGGUAACGGCCCACCAAGGCGACGAUCAGUAGCCGGCCUGAGAGGGUGAACGGCCACAUUGGGACUGAGACACGGCCCAAACUCCUACGGGAGGCAGCAGUGGGGAAUAUUGCACAAUGGGGGAAACCCUGAUGCAGCGACGCCGCGUGAGUGAUGAAGUAUUUCGGUAUGUAAAGCUCUAUCAGCAGGGAAGAUAAUGACGGUACCUGACUAAGAAGCACCGGCUAAAUACGUGCCAGCAGCCGCGGUAAUACGUAUGGUGCAAGCGUUAUCCGGAUUUACUGGGUGUAAAGGGUGCGUAGGUGGCAAGGCAAGUCUGAAGUGAAAAUCCGGGGCUCAACCCCGGAACUGCUUUGGAAACUGUUUAGCUGGAGUACAGGAGAGGUAAGUGGAAUUCCUAGUGUAGCGGUGAAAUGCGUAGAUAUUAGGAGGAACACCAGUGGCGAAGGCGACUUACUGGACUGCUACUGACACUGAGGCACGAAAGCGUGGGG
rnacentral:rRNA from 1 species